GACGUAGGGCGCGAGCGUUGUCCGGAUUUAUUGGGCGUAAAGAGCUCGUAGGCGGCUUGUCGCGUCGUCCGUGAAAACCUGCGGCUCAACUGCAGGCUGGCGGUCGAUACGGGCAAGCUAGAAUUCGGUAGGGGAGACUGGAAUUCCUGGUGUAGCGGUGAAAUGCGCAGAUAUCAGGAGGAACACCGGUGGCGAAGGCGGCAUCCUGGACCAACACUGACACUGAGGAGCGAAAGCCAGGGGAGCAAACGGG
rnacentral:rRNA from 1 species